GGUUGCUCAGUGGUAGAGUGCUUGUCUUGAAUGCAGGAGGUCCUGGGUUCGAUUCCUCAGCACCA
rnacentral:tRNA from 1 species